GGUUGAUCCUGCCAGUAGUCAUAUGCUUGUCCCAAAGAUUAAGCCAUGCAUGUCCAAGUAUAAAUCGUUUACUGGUGAAACUGCGAAUGGCUCAUUAUAUCAGUUAUAAUUUAUUUGAUAGUGACUUACUACUUGGAUAACCGUGGUAAUUCUAGAGCUAAUACAUGCAGCAUGCCCGACUGCUUUGGCGGAAGGGCAGUAUUUAUUAGAUUAAAAACCAAUGCGGGAGACCGCGAGAGGUGAUUCAUGAUAACUUUGCGGAUCGCACGGCCGUGUGCCGGCGACAGAUCAUU
rnacentral:rRNA from 1 species